rnacentral:rRNA from 1 species
AUUGAACGCUGGCGGCAUGCUUUACACAUGCAAGUCGAACGGUAACAGGCCUUCGGGUGCUGACGAGUGGCGAACGGGCGAGUAAUGCAUCGGAACGUACCCAGAGGUGGGGGAUAACGCAGCGAAAGCUGUGCUAAUACCGCAUGUGAUCUGAGGAUGAAAGCGGGGGACCGAGCAGCAAUGUUUGGCCUCGCGCCUUUGGAGCGGCCGAUGUCGGAUUAGCUAGUUGGUGGGGUAAAGGCCUACCAAGGCGACGAUCCGUAGCUGGUCUGAGAGGACGACCAGCCACACUGGGACUGAGACACGGCCCAGACUCCUACGGGAGGCAGCAGUGGGGAAUGUUGGACAAUGGGCGCAAGCCUGAUCCAGCAAUGCCGCGUGCGAGAAGAAGGCCUUCGGGUUGUAAACCGCUUUUGGCAGGAACGAAACGGUGUCCGCUAAUACCGGGCGCUAAUGACGGUACCUGCAGAAUAAGCACCGGCUAACUACGUG